rnacentral:lncRNA from 1 species
AGAUUACAGGCCCAAAUAUGAACAUUUACUGAGCGAUGGUAUUAGAGCAGAAGUAGGAAGGAUUUCUAAGGCUCGUUGUGAAAUGCUUAUAAAGCUAAAAAGGUCAAAUUCUUCUCCAAUUUUCACUCCACACAAAAGCAGUUAAGUAAAUGAAACAACAUGACCCACAAAUUGAUGCAGGAUACAACCUGCAGAAUAUGUUGACACACAGUAAAAGACAUUGUGUAGUUUCAUGUUAACAUGAAAGAAAUGAUAUCUGACCAUGAGAGUACCAGUACUGACUCACUGUUUCUAAUUAUUACUAUAUUCUUUUUUUUUUUUUUUUUUUCCUGAAACAACAGCGACAAAGCAGCAUCAAGCAAUUGCCUCCUGGCUAGAAUUCUCGGCAAACCCUCAUGACUAUUGACUCAAAUGAGCAGCCCAGCAACAGGGGAACAGACACCAUUUGAUUCACAGAUUAUCACAUGGAUCCCAAGAACAGCAUGACUAUGCUGACCAUGAGGAGUCUGCAGCUUCCAGUUUUGACCACCAGCCUGCAGUAUCAAUAACAAGCACAAAGGUAAAACUGUUCCUCAAAUGUUAUCACAAAGUUCAUCAUCAAACUGUGCUUUGAUCUUAGUCCUACCAGUCAGGUGAGGAUACAGAUCAUCCACCUCCUUUUAAGCACACUAAUUCAAACUAAACUCAUAAACAGGACUGGAAAAGAGAACUGGACCUCAGAAAAAACAGACAAAGCUAAAUAAAUACUCAGACAAAGCCA